UGACCUCGAAUCAGGUAGGAAUACCCGCUGAACUUAAGCAUAUCAAUAAA
rnacentral:rRNA from 1 species